GAAGAAUUUUGUGCCUCUUGGUAUUUCAGUCCUGCUUUUGCUGUUAGUGACCUCAUAAUCAAGCUUUACCAAUAUGUCAUAUCCCAGCCUGUGUUGCUCAGUGUCCUACAUCCUGAGCACCAAUCACUGGGGUGCUUGUUACAAUCAGAGAUACCUGUACUUACUCUUCCAGAGCUGCUGGCUUGGGAAGAGUGGGACUCUCAAAUCUCCUUAUUUUGAAAAAGCCUUGGGAUGUAAAUGGGCCAAUGCAUCCCAACCAUGCAGGUCCUGACAUGCAUCUUGCAGAUGAGGAAACUGAGGCACAGCUAAUUGAUGGCAGAGCCAGAAUUCACAUCCAGAGACUUUAACUUUGGCCCAAAUCAUGUUAACUAUGUUGUGGCCUUUUAGUGGUUACCAAUUGCUUCAUAAUUUUCAUUCAAAAUUAUGUCUAAGAUAUACACUUUUUAUGUUUCUUCCACUGACAAUAUCUUAGCUGGGAAUCAGAGUUUUAAGAGCAAAAUAAAUGAGAAAGGAUUUGAUUGCCCUCCAA